rnacentral:rRNA from 1 species
UACGUAGGGUGCAAGCGUUAAUCGGAAUUACUGGGCGUAAAGCGUGCGCAGGCGGCUAUGCAAGACAGAUGUGAAAUCCCCGGGCUCAACCUGGGAACUGCAUUUGUGACUGCAUGGCUUGAGUACGGUAGAGGGGGAUGGAAUUCCGCGUGUAGCAGUGAAAUGCGUAGAUAUGCGGAGGAACACCGAUGGCGAAGGCAAUCCCCUGGGCCUGCACUGACGCUCAUGCACGAAAGCGUGGGGAGCAAACAGG